CAGAGGUUACUCACAACCACUAAUUGGAGGCCACAGCUGCAACAGCUAAAGCCUGGAGAUUCAGAAAUUAGGUGGCUUUUCUAAGCAGGAGCUCAGAUAAUCACCACCAUGAUUAUGAUGUUGACAGCAGGAGUGCCACAGAGCCUUCCCAGCUCAGGGAGAGGCAGGUAUGCCUGGAGCUUUUUUGUGCCUUUCCAAUGAUCUCUCUCUCUCAGCUUCAGAAAAAAUGUAAUAGUCCAGGCUUGUACUGACAAGGUCCUUCAGCCUUAUCUUCCAUAAGUUAUUACUGCUCGGGAGGUCUGUGCUGGGAGAACAAAAUUCUGAAUAAUUCAGCCCCAACCGUCACAGGCGUCCCCUAGCUCCCAGACUGCCUUCCCCCAAAAUGUAUGCAACCAAGGAGGAUAGGGGUCAGGAAAGCAUCACUGCUCUCCGACCUGAAGCCAACAUUACCCUCACCGUGGUGCUGCCAGGUUUGCUGUCCCAUAGUUUGUGCCGGCUGUGGCCUCCUGGAUCAUCUGCUCAGAGCGUGACUCACAGCCUUCUGCUUCUGGACACGUAACCGGUGCUUCUGACACAUCUUUCUCUGUACACGCCCUUACUGCAACUAUCUGUGCAAAUACUUUGUGGCCGUAAUUAUAUUCUCAGUUUCUCUCUUUAA